GAUGAAGAACGUAGCAAAAUGCGAUACUUGGUGUGAAUUGCAGAAUCCCGUGAACCAUCGAGUCUUUGAACGCAAGUUGCGCCCGAAGCCGUCAGGCCGAGGGCACGCCUGCCUGGGCGUCACACGCCGUUGCCCCCCCGCGCCCCGCACCCAACGCUUUGGGAGCGACCGCGGGGCGGGCUGAUGAUGGCCUCCCGUGCGCUCCGCCGCGCGGUUGGCCCAAAUACCGAGUCCCCGGCGACGUGCGCCACGACGAUCGGUGGUUGAGAGACCUCUGUCGCAAGUCGUGCGCGCCCGUCGCGUCACGCGGGCUCGCAUAGCGCCUCGCGCCGCACCCGGUGCGGAGCUUUCAACGCGACCCCAGGUCAGGCGGGGUUACCCGCUGAAUUUAAGCAUAUCAAUAAGCGGAGGA
rnacentral:misc_RNA from 1 species